UACGUAGGGUGCAAGCGUUGUCCGGAAUUAUUGGGCGUAAAGAGCUCGUAGGCGGUUUGUCGCGUCUGCUGUGAAAACUCGGGGCUCAACUCCGAGCUUGCAGUGGGUACGGGCAGACUAGAGUGCGGUAGGGGAGACUGGAAUUCCUGGUGUAGCGGUGGAAUGCGCAGAUAUCAGGAGGAACACCGGUGGCGAAGGCGGCUUUCUGGACGACAACUGACGCUGAGACGCGAAAGCGUGGGGAGCAAACAGG
rnacentral:rRNA from 1 species